UACGAAGGGGGCUAGCGUUGCUCGGAAUUACUGGGCGUAAAGGGCGCGUAGGCGGAUAUUUAAGUCGGGGGUGAAAGCCCGGGGCUCAACCUCGGAAUUGCCUUCGAUACUGGAUAUCUUGAGUUCGGGAGAGGUGAGUGGAAUGCCGAGUGUAGAGGUGAAAUUCGUAGAUAUUCGGCGGAACACCAGUGGCGAAGGCGACUCACUGGCCCGAUACUGACGCUGAGGCGCGAAAGCGUGGGGGAGCAAACAGG
rnacentral:rRNA from 1 species